UUACCAUGCUUUCUCCGUGUCUGUGUCUCUGUCUUUUCUUUCAGAAACACAAGCACCGAAAGCGCCAGUAAUUUGACAAGUCUGGUGGAGGGGAGGGGAAGAGCAGGCAGAAACACCAAAGGUGCAAAAUCCAGUGGCUCCAGGGCCAGGCAGGCUUUUCUUCAUGGUGGAGCUGGAGCCCAUCU
rnacentral:lncRNA from 1 species